rnacentral:lncRNA from 1 species
UUUGGCUCACCAACCUCAAAUAAAUGACACUGCAAUUCUGCUGUCUCCCCAUAGAAGAGACACUAAGAAUAAAUUGGCCUUUGAGUGCAGAACAUUAAUCUGCAUUCAUGUGUUGUUAGAAGAUUUGUUAUUUUUCAUGUUUGUUUUCCGAGUCAAACAGUCAUUUUUCCAAUUUUCCAACAGCACAUGAACAGAAUUUUUCAAAGUUUGCGGUUGUUCUUUGAUGAACAUCAACCCUUUGGUGGAAUCGGCACUAAAAUGAAAACAAAAGCCACAAUUAUCAAAAAACAAAAUCGUUCUCAAAUGUUCUGUUGUAAAGUUUAUAUAUUCAUUUUCAAUCGAAGUUAAAACCUGUUUUUGUCCAGAUUUUAUGUAUAUUUUUCUUUGACGAGAUGGAUCAUCAAAACACUCCAAGCACUAGUUUAGUUUAGCAAUCAGCUACUGUUUAUAUUUUAAGAACAACCUUAUGAAGCCCAAUGACGCCUUUUUUGUGAUAUUGGGCUAAAGAAAUUAAAUUGAAUUAAAAGAUGUUUAGAUUGAACUAGAACAUUUAUUUCAUCCCAGGUUUUUUCUUCUCCAUCACAUCUGUGAAGAUGCAGCAAUCUAAUCCCUGCAGGAUCCUCCAGGCUGUCUUGGAGCCUCUGGAGAACGGGCUGCUGUCCUUCAACCGCCUGUCAGAGAUGCUCCUCAGUAUGAAUGCAGACAUCAUCUAUCGUAGAUGUCAGACCUUUGAUGAUUUCAGACAAGAAGUUCAGAAAAUGGAGAAACACUUGAACGAGUCAGAGCAGAGAGCCGGUGAGGAGUUAGAGCAGCUUGAUGAGAAGACUGAGACUCUCACUGUAGACAAAUUUAAUUUAGAGAGAAAGAGAAAGCAGCAAGAGGCUGAGUUAGCACGUUUGAAGACCUGUGUGGACUCACACAAGUCCACUUUAAAGCAUUGCACUGAAGCUCGAGAUGCUGAGAAGAGAAACCUCGAAUCUGCAAAGAAGACCCUGAAAGAAAUGGAAGACAGAGUAGAUCAUGCAGAGACUGUCGGAAAUGUUGGACUUGCUCUUUUUGCUGUGCCAAUAUUUGGAUGGAUUGCUGGAGGAAUCAUGGUUGGUGUUGGCAGUGCGAAUGCAAACUCAGCCAGGGAUGACGUGAUAAAAGCUCAAGAGGAGGUAGAGAAAUGCAACUCUCAGAUUCAAGUUUACACUAAAAAAGUCUCUCACUACAAUGGGUUAAUCGCUAAAGCUGAAGAGGAAAUUAAGAAUGUUAACAGCAGAAUUUGUGCGACUAAAGCAGAACUGGAGGCUUUGGCUGUGAAGCGGAAAACUGUUGCAGACCUUCAGAGUCAAACUAGAAGCGUUGUCCAUAAUCUGGGGCUUCUCUCUGGAGAGGGGAGUGCAGUUGAGUUGCAGACCAGACAUCAGAUCCUGGUCCAGACCAUUAUGAGGGUGAUGGAUGAGUUGACACCAGUGCUGACCCAGAUUAUAGUAGAUGAUCUGCUGCCCACUGAAGGCUUGAAAAGAAUUAUGGAGGAAAUGAAAACCAACAACAGAAAACUUAAAGAAAGUCUGAGUGAAGAAAGUAAUGAUUAUUACUGAAGUGUACAUGUAUGUCAAAGUUUUCCAUUUCCUUUGAAUUAGUUUUCUGUGCUUUUUUUUUCUUUCCAGGCUUUUAAUUUUUGUCAACCCACAGUGUAUGGAAUAAGGUUAAAUCUAUAUUUCCCAACAUGUGUGAAAAUGUGUUUAUUAGAAAACUCAACAGUGUUUUGUACAAAUGUUAAGAAUCUACUGGAAGUUUUCUUUAUAUCCUCUUUACUAUACUAUUCACAUAUAAAGUUUGAAGCUCAUCUUUACUGUGAUUUUUUUUUUGUUUUUCAAUUUGCUUCCGGUAAUAAAAACCUCUGACAGAAAUUUUAAAAGUGUUUCAAAUAUUUCUUCAAAUUCAUAUAAUGCUCUUUGUCUGUUUCAUGUAAUAAAAUACUUCUGUCAAUGACUUUUUGAAUCAACAGCAGUGUGAUCUUAUCAGCCUUUUAUUCAAAGGAAAAACACAAGCAACUUGUAUAUCAUCUAUAACUAGUAUGAGUAAAACAUGUCUCUUUUCUGGACUGGCAGUUAUGUGUGUUAUUCUGUGGUUGCUCAUAACCAUAAUUAGAAGAGUCAAAGUUCCUUGUGCAUGCUCAGCUGUUUGCUACAAAUAGUCUGUGAGGCGAGGAGAAGUUCUGAGUCCAUAAAAGAUUUAUUUCAUGUGGUCUCAGUUAAGUCUACAGUAGAGAUGCCGUAUCAAUCUCUACUGUUUGACACCAAGGCAUGGUCAAACAAUU